rnacentral:rRNA from 1 species
GAAUAUUGGUCAAUGGACGAAAGUCUGAACCAGCCAUGCCGCGUGGAGGAUGAAGGUCCUCUGGAUUGUAAACUUCUUUUAUAUGGGACGAAAAAAGGCCUUUCCAGGUCGUCUGACGGUACCAUAUGAAUAAGCACCGGCUAACUCCGUGCCAGCAGCCGCGGUAAUACGGAGGGUGCAAGCGUUAUCCGGAUUCACUGGGUUUAAAGGGUGCGUAGGUGGGUUGAUAAGUCAGUGGUGAAAUCCCCGAGCUUAACUUGGGAACUGCCAUUGAUACUAUUGAUCUUGAAUACCGUGGAGGUCAGCGGAAUAUGUCAUGUAGCGGUGAAAUGCUUAGAUAUGACAUAGAACACCAAUUGCGAAGGCAGCUGGCUACGCGAAUAUUGACACUGAUGCACGAAAGCGUGGGGAUCAAACAGG